rnacentral:pre_miRNA from 1 species
AGCUUUCUGAAUCCGUGCAGUGAUUUCGUAAAACAUCAACCCAUUAGGAUUGAUCAAACUUCAAAGAUAAAUGAAGCU